rnacentral:rRNA from 1 species
UACGUAGGGUCCGAGCGUUGUCCGGAAUUACUGGGCGUAAAGCGUGCGCAGGCGGUUUUGUAAGCCAGAUGUGAAAUCCCCGGGCUUAACCUGGGAAUGGCAUUUGGGACUGCAAGGCUCGAGUGCGGCAGAGGAGACUGGAAUUCCUGGUGUAGCAGUGAAAUGCGUAGAUAUCAGGAGGAACACCGGUGGCGAAGGCGGGUCUCUGGGCCGAUACUGACGCUGAGGAGCGAAAGCGUGGGAGCGAACAGG